ACAAGCAAUCCCACAUACUUCGAACAAUUUAGGAUGUUCCUUCACUAAUCCAUGGCUCCAUGUCCAUGAUUUAAAACUCAAUGAUUGAAAUGCGCCUUUUUUACAUCCAUGACUGCUGCAGUCAUCUUUGUAGCAUCUGGCAAAUUAUUUUUGUAUUCCUUUGCCUGCAUAUCAUCACCAUAAAGCGUAGCCCAUUCACUUUGUCGAGCUCAAGUCUAAGAGUGUACUGUGAAAACAAACUAAGAAUUCUGGUCAAAUAUCUUAAGUACCUCACUCAAGUCUUUUCGUGGAUGGCAGCAAUGACUCAUAUAUUUUAGUUGCCCGUCCACUUACAAUGUUGCAUGCCUGCAUCUGCAGAAAAAAUAUAUAAAAUGCUCCUAAUAGGACGGGGAAUCAGUUGUCUGGUUUGUGUUUUCUACUACCAACUGUAGUAUAUGUGGCACACAAGUUCUUACCCAGAGUCUGGAAGACUGUUGAGCUCAUUCUCCCUCAUCAAAUUCUACUGUCAUCCUGGAAUUGCCUUUGUCCCUCGCAAC
rnacentral:lncRNA from 1 species